UUCCAUACAAAAUAAGAAUAGAAAUAACAGAAAUUAAAUACCAAUGUUAUAGAGCAAUACUCUUUCUAAUCUGUCUUGAACAUAUGUAACUUCAGAAACUAAAUAGAUUGAAACUUAGAAUGUUUGCUAUUAACUUUAGAAUUCUCUGUUCCUUUAAUGACAUUUUAAAAAGUGAUUCCAAUCUUUUUUUGGUUGCUUAUAUUUAAUAACCAUGUUAAAGGGCUCCAAAAUCUUGUAAAGCCAUAUCUUUAUAUCUCUACAUGCUAAAUUUUAUGAGAUAUGUAUAUUAAAAUAUUACAUUAAACUUGUACUUCAUUUCAUGGCUGCUCCUAGAAAAGCCAUCAGGCCCUGGUCCUGGGCAGAACUACUUCCUUCAAAAUUGAAAUUAAUUGCAUUACCUUUUAAAAGGAAUAUUUGCCUAAAAAGAAACUUACCUUAUUUAAAAGGAAAAAUAGGUGUAAGGAAUAUGUAUUCCUCUCCACACACAUAAAAAUAUUUAACUAGGGAAAAAAAGACUCAAGUAGAUAAAAAUAAAGUUUAUAUGAAAAUGAGCUCGUAAGAAAUUCUGUAGCAUGCAUUAAAAUUGAAUUUCCUAACAAAUUUUAAAUAAACAGAAACUACAGAUCUGCUCAGAAUUUCUUGUGUCAUGUUAAUUCAACUCAUAGAGUAAGGUUGUUCUGUAAACAUGUCUGCUUUUCAAGUUGCACAUAGAAGAAAGCUUUCUAAAUGUAAAGGAGAUCAUCAAUGUUUAAAAAGCCCAGUGUAGAGCUUCUGAGUUUUCUUUCAGUAACUAGAAUUAAAAAUUCUUGCUUUCUUUUGGACAAAAUUUCAUCUAAUUACAGUCAAUUUAUUCUGCAAAUUUUGGACAGCAAGUCCUGAUCACCAAAGAAAAAGCAGCUGUGCUGCUCUUGGCUCAGAGUCCCAACAAUGGUCUGAUUAUGUAGUCACUGGGCUUGAAAGGAAGCCAUGAAGUGUAGCUGUCCAGCAGCUGCCGCCUGGCAUAGGCACACCUGAAUCUUUCUGGACUGCUGGUGAUGUAUGCCGUCUGCUUCUAUAGAUGUUCAAAGAAAUGUCUUCAACAAGUCAAUUCAGUAAAACAGCUGUUGGGAGAAGGAAGUUCCUUCCUACAACCUUUUACAUCUUUCAUUAGGUGGUUGUUUCUAAAGCUUCCAUUCCAAGAUUUAUACAUUAAACAUCUAAAUCUUCUCUUAGUUUGAUAUAACUGUUUUUUUUCUUUUUGAGAGGUGCUAGAAAUUGACCACUGCUUAAUUAGUGGAAAUAGUUCCCAUAAACCAUGCUUUCUCUAAUAUUUCCUUUAACUCACCUACAUAGCUUCUCUUGCCUUCAACUCAGUUAUUCUUCAACCACUGCAAUUUACUGACUCUCCUUGUACCCCAGUUUGUACAGUUUUAAAGUUUGGGUGCUAAUAGUAAAUUCAUUGUAAGGAUUAAAUAGAAUAUAGCUAUUCUUACUUUAGCAAAAAGAUUGGAAACCAGUUUUCCCAGAACAAGCUGAACUCCUUGUCAGCUUCUCCAUCAUAUUCAUGUCAGAUGUUUUUAUGCCAUUAAAUCUGUUGUGGUGCUACCAA